rnacentral:tRNA from 1 species
GGGCCCGUGGCUCAACUUGGAAGGGCGCUGCCUUCGCAAGGCAGAGGUUGUGGGUUCAAAUCCCACCGGGUCCA